rnacentral:rRNA from 1 species
CCCUUAGAUGUUCUGGGCUGCACGCGCGCUACACUGAUGCACUCAACGAGUUUACGACCUUGCCUGGAAGGGUUGGGUAAUCUUUUUAACAUGCAUCGUGAUGGGGAUAGAUUAUUGCAAUUAUUAAUCUUCAACGAGGAAUUCCUAGUAAGCGCGAGUCAUCAGCUCGUGCUGAUUACGUCCCUGCCCUUUGUACACACCGCCCGUCGCUCCUACCGAUUGAGUGAUCAGGUGAACUCUUUGGACACCGUCUCCCGGUGCGUGGAAGUUGAGUAAAUCUUAUUACUUAGAGGAAGGAGAAGUCGUAACA